UAGAAGCUCGAGCAGUCAGGCGUACUGGAAUGUGCUGUGACAAGGAGAGGUUGAGAGUGGAAGUCCUGACCAGGGUACUAGACUGACCUUUAACUCUCAGAGGAAACUCAAUUUAAAUGUAAGAACUUCCUGAGAAGAGGAAAACAUCCCUUCUCUGUGAUGAAUGCCCUUCUUAAAGUACCUUUUGCGUCGCAUAAUACUCUAUCCAGAUCAACCAACCAGAUGGAUGCUUUCUGUCUAAAUUGUCAGUUAUUGAAAGUAUGGCUACAUGAGACAAGCCAUAAAAUAUCAGUCGAGACAGCUUUUCCUCCUCUUCUGGAGAAAUUCCCGACGGACUUUCGUGAGAGAGGGAUUUGGGAAGAUUAAGGAGUAGUAUGUAAAUGACAUGAGAGGGAAGGAUUUAGGAAGAAGGACCAUCACAUUCCAGAAGCAGACUGAGAUGAGGAGACGGGGAAUAGAUCCAGGGAAUUUCCCUUGGUGUUCUUUUGCUAUGGAGAGUUUGAUCAGCACCAUGAAGAUUGACAUUUCGUGUAAGAGCAGUCAGGUUACAGGACUCGGGAGCACUGGUGACCACAGCAGAUCUCUGAGCUAGAUGACCGCUUGAGGACAGAGUAGCAGGACAGAGGGAAGAUAUGUUUAGCACCAAAUACAACACAAUUAUGGACAAGUAUACAAACCAACUGUUCAGAAUCUCAACUACUUGCCUUUUUUGGUAAGACUGCUGAAAAUGCUUUGAUCAGUGUCAAAGUUUUUUGUUUAGACCUUGAAUACA
ensembl:lncRNA